rnacentral:lncRNA from 1 species
GUGAUGUUGUGGUUGGUGAAAACUGGUUGUGAUGAUUCUUCUCUGACUGUGGGUAUGAACAUUGGGCCUUUCAUGUCUUGCAAAGAGGCCCAAAGGGAUCUCCCUCUACCUGCUGGAACCAAGGCUCAGAGCUCAUAUGCUUGGAGGCAGGAAUUGCUGAAUAGUUCCAAACUUCUGAGCUUAGGGACAAGUCACCCUUAUUCCCACAGCUUUGCACAGUCAGAUGACUGCAGUGACCAGAUAGAGGAAAUAGAGGCAUCAUGUGGUGGCAUUUCUUCCUGACUCUGGUGGCCCCUGCUGUUCAUUAUACAGAGAAAUUGCUGCCAUGCAGCUAGUUUUCA